CACGUAGGGGGCGAGCGUUGUUCGGAAUUACUGGGCGUAAAGGGCAUGUAGGCGGUCUUGUAAGCUUGGCGUGAAAGACCACGGCUCAACCGUGGGAUUGCGUUGAGAACUGCGAGGCUUGAGUGACGGAGAGGGAGCUAGAAUUCCUGGUGUAGGGGUGGAAUCUGUAGAGAUCAGGAAGAAUACCAAUGGCGAAGGCAAGCUCCUGGCCGAUGACUGACGCUGAGGUGCGAAAGUGUGGGGAUCAAACAGGAUUAGAUACCCUGGUAGUCCACACUGUAAACGAUGUGCACUAGGUGCUGGUACGGAUGUAUCAGUGCCGUAGCUAACGCAUUAAGCACCCCGCCUGGGGAGUACGUACGCAAGUAUGAA
rnacentral:rRNA from 1 species